rnacentral:tRNA from 1 species
GCCUUCUUAGCUUAGUGUUAGAGCGCGUGGCUUUUUACCACGUGGUCGUGGGUUUGAUUCCCACAGGCGGCG